rnacentral:rRNA from 1 species
GUUGUAUAGUUAAGUGACUAAGCGUACAAGGUGGAUGCCUUGGCAAUCAGAGGCGAAGAAGGACGUGCUAAUCUGCGAAAAGCUUGGAUGAGUCGAUAAGAGGCGUUUAAUCCAAGAUAUCCGAAUGGGGAAACCCAGUGGGUGAAGAAUCCACUAUCAACAAGUGAAUACAUAGCUUGUUGAGGCAAACCGGGAGAAC